UGGGAGUCUUCGCUGAGCCCCUGUUCCAGGAUACCGAGAUCUUCCAACUAAGGGUCCGCUUCUGGCAGGACAAUAAAAAAGAAGAGAAGGCGGUGCGAAAGAAGGAGCAACAUCUGCAAGGAGUGCAGCUUGGUGAUGACAAGGUGCUCCACCUAGCGGGAGAUGGUGGAAACGUGUCCGUGAUGUUGGAGUGGCUGUAUCCUGGUUGGCAAGUGAUGGAGAAUGAUAGACAGACCAUCCCCUUCAGCAGCCUGUGGAACGAUCACGCCGAGAUGCCGUCCUGCACGUUUGGUUUGGAGAGGCAGCCAUUGGACACUCAGCCGAGAGUAUCCUGCAGGGUUACGGCUCUACAGGUGGCUCACCCCGGUAACUCCGUCAGCAUCGACGUGCUGAAGCAGCUG